CCCUCCAUAGUAUUUGUUGAUAGGUGAUGGACAAUUGAAGCAGCAAACCAUGUAAGUCAAUCUCUUUGGGGGCAAUAAGUCAUGCCAAUUAACCUUGAAGCUAUCAGGGCUUUUUUUUGUUGUUGUAAUUCCAGCUUGUGGAUUAUCCUCUAACCAAGCAGUUCGCCGGCUUCCCUUCUCGUGGAGCAGCAAGCACGUCACAAACUUCUCGUGGAGGCAAUAAUUUAUUAUCUUUUAUGUUUCUUUUCCAUCUCCCUUGAUUUUUUCCUACUCCCAACUUCUUGCGACUUGAUCACUGGAUGUUGAACUUGCCUCUUUGAUGCAUUAAGGGGAUGUGUGGAGACGCUAGCGUAGAUGGUUUUCCAUUUUUCCGACCUCAUUAAUAGACAAUGUCACGUCUCUUUUGAAGAUUCUGUCUAUGGAGGACUUAGUAGUCUGUAUAGGAGGCAAGAACAAGUCUUUACACAAUCAUGAGCCGUGAUUAUUCCAGGCUAGGCGCCUUAAGGAAAAGCUACGGAAUGAAGAAUCUGGUUUGUCAGAUGAUACAAUCUCAAGGCGUUUGUGGACUCAAACUUAUGUUGUGGCCUCAACAGUUCUGCAUUUAGAGGAGUCACCUGUCAUGGAACAAAUUGGGAAUUUUCUGAUGAAAGGGCAAGGAGAUUACAUGAAUCUUCUUCCUUUAAUUCAUAGCACUAUCUUGUCUUUAUGCUAUUGAAAGAUGCAGCAUGUUCAUGGUGCUUCAGUUUUGAACAGGUAAAUUAUAAUAAACAAGACAAGAUUGCAGUACUUCUAUAUUAUUCUCAGCA